CGGGAGGCUGCAGUCGAGGAUCAUUCGCAAUGGGCGAAAGCCUGACGAUGCGACGCUGCGUGGAGGAUGAAGGCCUUCGGGUCGUAAACUCCUGUCAUGGGGGAAGAGGCGAGGGGAGUCAACACCUCCCUUAGUUGACGGUACCCCAAGAGGAAGGGACGGCUAACUCUGUGCCAGCAGCCGCGGUAAUACAGAGGUCCCGAGCGUUGUUCGGAUUUACUGGGCGUAAAGGGCGCGUAGGCGGCGAGGCGUGUCGGAUGUGAAAUCUCCGGGCUCAACCCGGAAAGUGCGUCCGAAACUACCCCGCUGGAGUACGGGAGAGGGAAUCGGAAUAUAGGGUGUAGCGGUGAAAUGCGUUGAUAUCCUAUAGAACACCGGAGGCGAAGGCGGAUUCCUUGAACGAUACUGACGCUGAGGCGCGAAAGUCGGGGGAGCAAACAGGAUUAGAUACCCUGGUAGUCCCGACCUUAAACGGUGCACGCUCGCGGUGGGGGGAUUUCACCCCUCCCGUCGCUUAGCAAACGCGUUAAGCGUGCCGCCUGGGGAGUACGGCCGCAAGGCUAAAACUCAAAGAAAUUGACGGGGGCCCGCACAAGCAGAGGAGCAUGUGGCUUAAUUCGAUGCAACGCGAAGAACCUUACCUGGGCUUGACAUCGUCGGCAAUGCCCCUGGAAACAGGGGCGGAGGCUAUCCGGCAGACAGGUGCUGCAUGGCUGUCGUCAGUUCGUGCCGUGAGGUGUUUGGUUAAGUCCACCAACGAACGCAACCCCUAUGACCCGUUGCCAUCGGGUAACGCCGGGAACUCAGGUCACACUGCUGGUUUACGCCAGAGGAAGGUGGGGAUGACGUCAAGUCAGUAUGGCCCUUACGCCCAGGGCUGCACACGUGCUACAAUGGCCGGUACAGAGGGAAGCGAAGCCGCGAGGCGGAGCCAAUCCCGCAGAGCCGGCCCCAGUUCAGAUCGGGGUCUGCAACCCGACCCCGUGAAGUCGGAUUUGCUAGUAACGGCGUAUCAGCUACGACGCCGUGAAUGCGUUCCCGGGCCUUGUACACACCGCCCGUCACAUCAUGAAAGCCGUCUGCACCCGAAGUCGGGCAUUUGUCCGCCUAAGGUGUGGGUGGUGAUUGGGAUGAAGUCGUAACAAGGUAACCGUUGGGGAACCAGCGGUUG
rnacentral:rRNA from 1 species